rnacentral:rRNA from 1 species
AUGGCAGAUUACGGCUAUCCCGACGGCGGCGGCGAAGAGGAGGACAUGCAGUGGCCACCGGCUCCUCCCGCCUACGGCUACCCCGACGACGACGGCGGCGGCGAGCGGCCGCCCUUCGUCCUCAUCGAUCCACGCGCCUACUUCGCCGACCGCAAGAACGCCACCACCGCCGUCAUCGAUAUGGAGGCCGGGGCCCCCAAUCUCAGGGGCCGACUCCAGGUCACCUUCUGCGCCGUCGCCCCGCCGCUCGUCUCCUACUUCUGCGUCCACGCCUCCCACAUGGACCGCACCGAGUUCCCCGUCGCGCCCUCCAUCCUGGCCACCGAGACCGACGGCGGCCUCGCCCUCCUACGCGUCGCCACCGUCGACCCCGUCUAUCCGCCCGAUCACGUGCGUCCCGAAAAUUGCCAAUACUUCGUCUACGACGCCCUCGCCCGCAAACUUCACCAACUCCCGCAACCCGGCUUCCAACACCGACUCAGCGAGCCCUCGCUCGCCAUCAUGCGCAAGCCCAACAAAAGCUCCCAAAACACCAGCAAGCACGUCAGCCUACGCCCCCAUGUACAUGGAGAGGCCGAGGCCGAGGCCGAGGCCGACUUCGUCGUUGCCGCACAAUCCUACAUUUUCUGGGGUAAAGAAUCUCCUCACAUCUGCAUCUAUGACUCUGCUAUCAAGACCUGGAGCAACAAGCCGGUGGUGAUGGGUUCAUCAUAUCCAGAACGCCACCUCCCAAGCAAGACACUCACCAUCGGAGGAAGCAAUGGCACCGUGGCUUGGGUGGAUCUCUGGUACAACAUCGUCUUGUGUGACGUUCUCGCCAAAUGCCCCAAGCUUCGCUACCUGAAGCUGCCGACCGAACCCUGCGAUGGGGGUAUCAAUCCAAGGUCUCUUCGCGACAUUGCGGUCUUUGGCAACACCAUCAAGUAUGUCGCGAUCCUGCAUCACCCCGACACAAGUCGUUGGGUAGCCACAGCAUGGAGCAUCAAGAAGGGCCGUCGGUCCUGGCCCAAGGAAUGGCACAUGGAAUGCCAGCUCGAUUCCACCCAUAUAAAGGUUGAUGCGGCUGGUCGAGUCGCUACCUUCCCAACCUUGUCGUCUCUUUUCGUUGGCCUCCCCACACUCAGCCUGCAGAAUGAUGCCAUUGUUUACUUCCUCGCCAAGAUUGACUUCAGCCCAAGGCAACGCACAGCGUGGGUGCUUGCUGUUGACAUGAAGAACGAGACUGCUGAGCAAGUGGUGGAGUUCCCUGCUGAGAGGACUUAUUGUGUAGCCAAGGGCUACGACGCAAGUAGGAUCUCUGCAUAUCUCCAACCCGCGCCAGGUACACAGCAAAUGCCUAAAUGA